rnacentral:lncRNA from 1 species
GAGAGCCAAGCAGGGGGAGGGGCAGAGGGAGAGAGGGAGACCCACAACCUGAAACAGGCUCCAGGCUCCGAGCUGUCAGCACAGAGCCUGACGCGGGGCUCGAACUCACGAACUGCGAGAUCAUGACCUGAGCUGAAGUCGGACACUUAACUGACUGAGCCACCCAGAUGCCCUUCAACACCAUUUUUCGUUCAAACUCACUGAAACCUCGGCUUCUGAGCCAGCCAGGUGCCCUGGUCCUUAGUUUUUAAGGUGCAGAAAUCACAUUGGGUCUCUGCCUCCUCUUCCGGGGUGAUGAGAUUCUGAAGAAAUAAUUCUUACUAACCAAGCUCAUCACAGAUGGAUUUCCAAAAAGAUUUCCAAAAUAAUUUGGGGGAAUGACUUAAUAAUGCCUCCCAAUCUCUGGGUACUUACUAGGCGACCGGGACUCUGAACAAAUGCUUUACAGGAUCGAUUUCAUUUAAACUUCACAAUAAUCCUGUGAUAUAGCAUGAGGCACACUGUUUUAUCCCCUCAUUGUGGGUAAGGAAAUUAAGCCGCAGACGGAGGAAGUAAUCUAAGGAUGGCAAAUGACAGCUCUGUGUGACUCCAAACCCUCUCUAGACAUUCAUGUCAUAAUAGGAAUAGAAGACGCAGCCCCUUCCUCAAGUAACUAGGAAGAAUAUGGGAGGAGAUAAGGAAGAAGGUUUAUAAGUGGAAAACACAGCCUCUCUCCUACUGCCUAUGACUCAGCUGCAGCUGUGACUCACAGAAGACUGAAGGUCACUGAGCAAGUUGGAAAUGACCCUGGACUUCAGUAUUAGAGCCAACGCCUGAGUGCGGUAGCUCUGAUUGUUAGCCGCGACUGAUGCCUCUCACUGGCACUUCCUACGAAGUUAACCAUUUCUCAGUCUUCACUCCUACCUUCGCUCGGACAAAUGUGAUCACGGACAACAUAGGAGCAGGAGCAAAAUCAAAUAGCUGCCUUAUAUAAUGCUCUGCAAUUGCCCACACUAAGCCAAAGUGGGUUGAUUCAUCUAUUUACAUCUGGUUUGCUGAGGUGUCGCCACGAUAAAAGAAACUAAUGGUGGGUAUUCAUUUCUAGAAGUCUCUGUAUUAAUCAUCAAGGUUUUUCCCCCCCCAAAUGUGUAUUACUUUAUUAAAAAUUUUUUAACUUUAUUUUAAGAGGGAGAGAGCACAAGCAGGAGAGGGGCAGAGAGAAGGAGAGACAGAAUCCUAGGCAGGCUCCCUGCCAUCAGCACAGAGCCUGAUGCGGGGCUCAAACCCCACCAACCGUGAGAUCACGAUCUGAGCCGAGAUCAAGAGUCGGAUGAUUAACCGACUGCGUCACCCAGGUGCUCCUUUAACUUUUUUUUGAAGUUUAUUUAUUUUUGAGAGAGAGCACGCGCGAGAGCACGGGGGAGGAGCAGAGAGCGAGGGAGACACAGAAUCCGAAGCAGGCUCCAGGCUCCGAGCUGUCCGCCCAGAGCCGGACGCGGGGCUCGAACCCAUCAACCGCGAGAUCGUGACCUGAGCCGAAGUUGGACGCUCCACCGACUGAG